rnacentral:lncRNA from 1 species
GUGAGAUCCUACAGGACGGUCUGGAAGACAUCCCAUGGAAGGCACUUUAUUUUGCCCAGAAGCUGGAGGAAAAGCAGAAGGAUGCUGAACACUGACUAAGAGGAGAGAGCGCACAUUACAUGGAGACCAUGGUCCCUAUACCAGAAACAUGAGAGUAGAGAGAAGCAAAGCCAGCAUCGUGGAGCCAGUCCCUUUAUCCAGGGUCUUGGAGGGAUACAGUCUUCUGUAGAAAUUAAAUAAAAACUGAAUUCUUCAAUGGGUAUUUUGAGAAGAGAGCCACUGUAAGCUUAUACACUGUGAAUUGCAAAAUGUUACUGCCUCUGGGUGGACAGGUUUUAAAAAGACUUUUUUUUUUUUCCUCCUGGCAUGACUGACAGAGGGAAGGCUGGGUUUCAAUCCCAUCUUUCCCUUCCCUUGCCCAGUGCUUCUUUAUGUGCACAACCUGCACAACUAUAUGUGGUUUGCAAACACGCAUAAGCAAAGACUAACAGCUUCUGAAACAAACUCUGAAUAAAAGAGGGAGCAUAUUAAGGCAGAUGGCAGAGGAGGUGAGCAGCAUGGGCAGAUAGAAGCAUCACAGAGACUACAAGAAGAAUGUGCCAGACCAGCUCAUAGUGGCCACACUUAUUAAGAAUUAUCAUCAGCUCUUUAGGAUUUGGAAACUUGGAAACACAUUGUGUGUUCUUCCUGGUUUGUUA